rnacentral:tRNA from 1 species
GCCCGCCUGGCGGAACCGGUAGACGCAGCGGACUUAAAAUCCGUGGGGCUUCGGCCUUUGGGGGUUCGACUCCCCCGGCGGGCA